CAGCAGCCACGGUAAUACGUAGGGUGCGAGCGUUAAUCGGAAUUACUGGGCGUAAAGCGUGCGCAGGCGGUUGUGUAAGACAGGUGUGAAAUCCCCGGGCUUAACCUGGGAACUGCGCUUGUGACUGCACAGCUAGAGUAUGGCAGAGGGGGGUGGAAUUCCACGUGUAGCAGUGAAAUGCGUAGAGAUGUGGAGGAACACCGAUGGCGAAGGCAGCCCCCUGGGCCAAUACUGACGCUCAUGCACGAAAGCGUGGGGAGCAAACAGGAUUAGAUACCCGGGUAGUCCCUGUCUCUUAUAC
rnacentral:rRNA from 1 species